AACGAACGCUGGCGGCAGGCUUAACACAUGCAAGUCGAGCGCCCCGCAAGGGGAGCGGCAGACGGGUGAGUAACGCGUGGGAAUCUACCGUACCCUACGGAAUAACGCAUGGAAACGUGUGCUAAUACCGUAUACGCCCUUAGGGGGAAAGAUUUAUCGGGGUAUGAUGAGCCCGCGUUGGAUUAGCUAGUUGGUGGGGUAAAGGCCUACCAAGGCGACGAUCCAUAGCUGGUCUGAGAGGAUGAUCAGCCACAUUGGGACUAAGACACGGCCCAAACUCCUACGGGAGGCAGCAGUGGGGAAUAUUGGACAAUGGGCGCAAGCCUGAUCCAGCCAUGCCGCGUGAGUGAUGAAGGCCUUAGGGUUGUAAAGCUCUUUCACCGGUGAAGAUAAUGACGGUAACCGGAGAAGAAGCCCCGGCUAACUUCGUGCCAGCCGCCGCCGUAAUAC
rnacentral:rRNA from 1 species